AGUUUAGUAGGUUAAUUAGUACUAUUUGCUUUCAAAGCAAAAGGUGACAACUGCAAGUCCUAGACUG
rnacentral:tRNA from 1 species